CCAUUUUAUGGCUUUAGCCCAAAAACUGCCAAUAUGGUUAUUUUUUAAGAAUUUUUCCUUCUCAAAUUUUAACCAUUUUUGUAGUUCUUGAGCAUUAACCACAAAAUGUUUGAAUAAUUUGGUUUUCCUAUCGUAGCCAUCUUGAAAAUUGCCAAUUUACAGACGAACGCGUUUUUCAAAACUCCAUCAUUCCGCGAAACUAUAGAUCGAGUUCGAGAUUAAAUCGGUCCUGGUCGGAACACAUCGAAUCUAUUGGUGGUUAUCAAAGGAUACCGAUGAGAUAUGACCCCGCAUGAAGUUUCAAUAGAAACACCUAAAUUAUAAUCAACCGCAGUCGCUUGCUAGCUGCAUGGUCCUCGUACUGUCAGGUAUAUUGAAAUAUCCUAAAAGGAGAACCCGGAUCACACUUCCGGUAUUGGUGCGAAAAUACAAGAUACUCUUCCGACUGCAAUUUCACCACCCGGAAGAAGCUGGAACGUGCUGGACUGCUUCAAAAAUAUCACCCGCCAGUCAAAAAUAAAAAUCUAACCCCCCCGUGAACGAACA